UACGUAGUUGGCAAGCGUUGUCCGGAAUUAUUGGGCGUAGAGCGCGCGCAGGCGGACGCUUAAGGCUGAUGUGAAAGCCCCCGGCUCAACCGGGGAGGGCCAUUGGAAACUGGGAGGCUUGAGUAUAGGAGAGAAGAGUGGAAUUCCACGUGUAGAAGUGAAAUGCGUAGAGAUGUGGAGGAACACGAGUGGCGAAGGCGACUCUUUGGCCUAUAACUGACGCUGAGGCGCGAAAGCGUGGGGAGCAAACAGG
rnacentral:misc_RNA from 1 species